AACCCUUAUUACUAUAGUGUUACCUACUAAAAUUAGAAUAAUAUAAGAGAAUAAGUAUGGCCUCUGCCCAAGAUGCCAUGAAAAAUUGUGAAGUAUGCCUGUUUUUA
ensembl:snRNA U6 U6 spliceosomal RNA